rnacentral:rRNA from 1 species
AGAAGAUGACGAGCGGCGGACGGGUGAGUAAUGCUUGGGAACAUGCCUUGAGGUGGGGGACAACAGUUGGAAACGACUGCUAAUACCGCAUAAUGUCUACGGACCAAAGGGGGCUUCGGCUCUCGCCUUUAGAUUGGCCCAAGUGGGAUUAGCUAGUUGGUGAGGUAAUGGCUCACCAAGGCGACGAUCCCUAGCUGGUUUGAGAGGAUGAUCAGCCACACUGGGACUGAGACACGGCCCAGACUCCUACGGGAGGCAGCAGUGGGGAAUAUUGCACAAUGGGCGCAAGCCUGAUGCAGCCAUGCCGCGUGUGUGAAGAAGGCCUUCGGGUUGUAAAGCACUUUCAGUCAGGAGGAAAGGUUAGUAGUUAAUACCUGCUAGCUGUGACGUUANUGACAGAUAC